UUACGGUCAUAUCACGUUGAAACACUGGUUCUAGUAUGAUCACCGAAGUUAAGCAACACCGAACCUGGUUACUAUCUAGAUGGGUGAUCUCUUAGGAAUACCAGGUGCUGUAAG